AAAAGCUCGUAGUUGGAUCUCAGCUCCGGCCGGACGGUCCGCCUACCGGUGGUUACUGUUCGUCGCCGAGCGUUCAGGCGGUUAUUCUUGAUGAUCUUCACCGGUUGUCUCGGGUGACCGCCAAGUUUACUUUGAAAAAAUUAGAGUGCUCAAAGCAGGCGCGACGCCUGAAUAAUUGUGCAUGGAAUAAUGGAAUAGGACCUCGGUUCUAUUUUGUUGGUUUUCGGAACACGAGGUAAUGAUUAAGAGGGACAGACGGGGGCAUUCGUAUUGCGACGCUAGAGGUGAAAUUCUUGGACCGUCGCAAGACGAACUACUGCGAAAGCAUUUGCCAAGAAUGUUUCCAUUAAUCAAGAACGAAAGUUAGAGGUUCGAAGGCGAUCAGAUACCGCCCUAGUUCUAACCAUAAACGAUGCCAGCCAGCAAUCCGCCUGUGUUCCUCAAAUGACACGGCGGGCGGCUUCCGGGAAACCAAAGCUUUUGGGUUCCGGGGGAAGUAUGGUUGCAAAGCUGAAACUUAAAGGAAUUGACGGAAGGGCACCACCAGAAAUGGAGCCUGCGGCUUAAUUUGACUCAACACGGGGAAACUUACCCGGCCCGGACACAGGAAGGAUUGACAGAUUAAGAGCUCUUUCUUGAUUCUGUGGGUGGUGGUGCAUGGCCGUUCUUAGUUGGUGGGGCGACUUGUCUGGUUAAUUCCGAUAACGAACGAGACUCUAGCCUACUAAAUAGACGUUCCGAUCCUCUUUUGUCGGACGUUCUUCUUAGAGGGACAAGCGGCGUUUAGCCGCACGAGACAGAGCAAUAACAGGUCUGGGAUGCCCUUAGAUGUCCGGGGCCGCACGCGCGCUACAUUGAAGGAAUCAGCGUGUGCUUUCCCUGUCCGACAGGACUGGGUAACCCGUUGAACCUCCUUCGUGCUGGGGAUUGGAGAUUGUAAUUUUCCUCCAUGAACGAGGAAUUCCCAGUAAGCACGAGUCAUCAGCUCGUGUUGAUUACGUCCCUGCCCUUUGUACACACCGCCCGUCGCUACUACCGAUUGAAUGAUUUAGUGAGGUCUUCGGACUGGCGCUCGGAUUGGCCUUCGCGGUCGAGCCGGCGUGCCGGAAAGAUGACCAAACUUGAUCAUUUAGAGGAAGUAAAAAGUCGUAACAAAGGUUUU
rnacentral:rRNA from 1 species